AACGAACGCUGGCGGCAGGCCUAACACAUGCAAGUCGAACGCCCCGCAAGGGGAGUGGCAGACGGGUGAGUAACGCGUGGGAACCUACCUUUCGGUGCGGAAUAACUUCGGGAAACCAAAGCUAAUACCGCAUACGCCCUACGGGGGAAAGAUUUAUCGCCGAUAGAUGGGCCCGCGUCGGAUUAGCUAGUUGGUGAGGUAAUGGCUCACCAAGGCUACGAUCCGUAGCUGGUCUGAGAGGAUGAUCAGCCACACUGGGACUGAGACACGGCCCAGACUCCUACGGGAGGCAGCAGUGGGGAAUAUUGGACAAUGGGCGCAAGCCUGAUCCAGCCAUGCCGCGUGAGUGAAGAAGGCCUUAGGGUUGUAAAGCUCUUUUAGUGGGGACGAUAAUGACGGUACCCACAGAAUAAGCCCCGGCUAACUUCGUGCCAGCCGCCGCAGUAA
rnacentral:rRNA from 1 species